GGACGAACGCUGGCGGCGUGCUUAACACAUGCAAGUAGUCGGGGGAAGGCCCCUUCGGGGGUACUCGAGUGGCGAACGGGUGAGUAACACGUGGGCAAUCUGCCCUGCACUUCGGGAUAAGCCCGGGAAACUGGGUCUAAUACCGGAUAGGACCUUUAGACGCAUGUCUUUUGGUGGAAAGCUUUUGCGGUGUGGGAUGGGCCCGCGGCCUAUCAGCUUGUUGGUGGGGUGAUGGCCUACCAAGGCGACGACGGGUAGCCGGCCUGAGAGGGUGUCCGGCCACACUGGGACUGAGAUACGGCCCAGACUCCUACGGGAGGCAGCAGUGGGGAAUAUUGCACAAUGGGCGCAAGCCUGAUGCAGCGACGCCGCGUGGGGGAUGACGGCCUUCGGGUUGUAAACCUCUUUCACCAUCGACGAAGGUUCGGGUUUUCUCGGACUGACGGUAGGUGGAGAAGAAGCACCGGCCAACUACGUGCCAGCAGCCGCGGUAAUACGUAGGGUGCGAGCGUUGUCCGGAAUUACUGGGCGUAAAGAGCUCGUAGGUGGUUUGUCGCGUUGUUCGUGAAAUCUCACGGCUUAACUGUGAGCGUGCGGGCGAUACGGGCAGACUAGAGUACUGCAGGGGAGACUGGAAUUCCUGGUGUAGCGGUGGAAUGCGCAGAUAUCAGGAGGAACACCGGUGGCGAAGGCGGGUCUC
rnacentral:rRNA from 1 species